GAUGAACGCUGGCGGCGUGCCUAAUACAUGCAAGUCGAACGAAACUUCUUUAUCACCGAGUGCUUGCACUCACCGAUAAAGAGUUGAGUGGCGAACGGGUGAGUAACACGUGGGCAACCUGCCCAAAAGAGGGGGAUAACACUUGGAAACAGGUGCUAAUACCGCAUAACCAUAGUUACCGCAUGGUAACUAUGUAAAAGGUGGCUAUACUACCGCUUUUGGAUGGGCCCGCGGCGCAUUAGCUAGUUGGUAGGGUAAAGGCUUACCAAGGCAAUGAUGCGUAGCCGAAUUGAGAGGUUGAUCGGCCACAUUGGGACUGAGACACGGCCCAAACUCCUACGGGAGGCAGCAGUAGGGAAUCUUCCACAAUGGGCGAAAGCCUGAUGGAGCAACGCCGCGUGGGUGAAGAAGGUCUUCGGAUCGUAAAACCCUGUUGUUAGAGAAGAAAGUGCGUGAGAGUAACUGUUCACGUUUCGACGGUAACUAACCAGAAAGCCACGGCUAACUACGUG
rnacentral:rRNA from 1 species